rnacentral:rRNA from 1 species
CCAAACCAACAAGCUUGCUUGUUGGGGUUGUAGGACACUCUAUACGGAGUUACAAAGGACGACAUUAGACGAAUCAUCUGGAAAGAUGAAUCAAAGAAGGUAAUAAUCCUGUAGUCGAAAAUGUUGUCUCUCUUGAGUGGAUCCUGAGUACGACGGAGCACGUGAAAUUCCGUCGGAAUCUGGGAGGACCAUCUCCUAAGGCUAAAUACUCUCUAGUGACCGAUAGUGAACCAGUACCGUGAGGGAAAGGUGAAAAGCACCCCGGAAGGGGAGUGAAAUAGAACCUGAAACCGUGUGCUUACAAGUAGUCAGAGCCCGUUAAUGGGUGAUGGCGUGCCUUUUGUAGAAUGAACCGGCGAGUUACGAUUUGAUGCAAGGUUAAGCAGUAAAUGUGGAGCCGUAGCGAAAGCGAGUCUGAAUAGGGCGUUUAGUAUUUGGUCGUAGACCCGAAACCAGGUGAUCUACCCUUGGUCAGGUUGAAGUUCAGGUAACACUGAAUGGAGGACCGAACCGACUUACGUUGAAAAGUGAGCGGAUGAACUGAGGGUAGCGGAGAAAUUCCAAUCGAACCUGGAGAUAGCUGGUUCUCUCCGAAAUAGCUUUAGGGCUAGCCUCAAGUGAUGAUUAUUGGAGGUAGAGCACUGUUUGGACGAGGGGCCCCUCUCGGGUUACCGAAUUCAGACAAACUCCGAAUGCCAAUUAAUUUAACUUGGGAGUCAGAACAUGGGUGAUAAGGUCCGUGUUCGAAAGGGAAACAGCCCAGACCACCAGCUAAGGUCCCAAAAUAUAUGUUAAGUGGAAAAGGAUGUGGCGUUGCCCAGACAACUAGGAUGUUGGCUUAGAAGCAGCCAUCAUUUAAAGAGUGCGUAAUAGCUCACUAGUCGAGUGACACUGCGCCGAAAAUGUACCGGGGCUAAACAUAUUACCGAAGCUGUGGAUUGUCCUUUGGACAAUGGUAGGAGAGCGUUCUAAGGGCGUUGAAGCAUGAUCGUAAGGACAUGUGGAGCGCUUAGAAGUGAGAAUGCCGGUGUGAG